AUUGAACGCUGGCGGCAGGCCUAACACAUGCAAGUCGAGCGGAUGAAGGGAGCUUGCUCCUGGAUUCAGCGGCGGACGGGUGAGUAAUGCCUAGGAAUCUGCCUGGUAGUGGGGGAUAACGUCCGGAAACGGGCGCUAAUACCGCAUACGUCCUGAGGGAGCAAGUGGGGGAUCUUCGGACCUCACGCUAUCAGAUGAGCCUAGGUCGGAUUAGCUAGUUGGUGGGGUAAAGGCCUACCAAGGCGACGAUCCGUAACUGGUCUGAGAGGAUGAUCAGUCAGACUGGAACUGAGACACGGUACAGACUCCUACGGGAGGCGGCAGUGGGGAAUAUUGGACAAAGGGCGAAAGCCUGAUCCAGCCAAGCCGCGUAUGUGAAGAAGGUCUUCGGAUUGUAAAGCACUGUAAGUUGGGAGGAAGGGCAGUAAGUUAAUACCUGGCUGUUUUGACGUUACCAACAGAAUAAGCACCGGCUAACUUCGUG
rnacentral:rRNA from 1 species